UUUCGCCUGCAGGAUAGGCACUCGGAAAAAGUUUAUCCGUAAAGCGAAAUGAUUAGAGGCAUUGGGGUCGAAACGACCUGCCUAUUCUCGCAAUAUUAAAUAGGGUAAGAUGCUGCGUGUUAAAUUGAGGCGGGCCUCACGCUCUACUUAUAAAGCGUGAAUGCGAAGUGGGCGCGCAGUGGGCAUUUUUUGGUAAGCAGAACUGCGCUGUGGGAUGACCAAACGGCGCGUUAAGGUUGCACGCUCAUGAGAGCAUCUCCACAAAAGGUGUAUUGGUCGAUACUGACAGCUUGUCUUGUCGGUGUUGGGUUACUGGUUUCGGUUGCAUAGGAAGUCUGAACCGCUAAGCGAGUGCCGCAACCCCUAAGGAGUGUUUAAACAAGACUCACCAUCCGGCUAACGCCGAAUCAACCAAUCUCCCUGAAAAUGUGAUGAGCGCCCUGCGAGCGUCGGCCUAUACGUCGGUGGCCUAUUAUACCGUGCCGCUUGUUCCGCGGGCGAAGCAGACAAAUAAUCUGUGUCCUGGCGUUGAGUGGUGUCCCAACGAGUAGGAGGGUCGCCGUGGGGUUAGUGAGCGCAGAAGGUGCGGCCGUGAGGCGGCUGGAGGCCGCCACGGGCG
rnacentral:ncRNA from 1 species